CUCUCCAGAUGUACCAUUUGGCACAUUAAGCAAGUCUUUUCUUAGAAGGGGAACCUAUGGUUUUGCCGUGUAAUGCAAAACACCAAUGGAAUCACUACAUAAGCAAAAUGCCAGUAAUGGUAUAGUGGUCCAGCCACAAACAUUGGGAAUUGUGGCCGUACUCUCUCAUCAGCCAGCCAGAUACACUGAAUUCCAAGGAGCGAGUGAAUGGCUUGUGCUCCCGUGGCAGUCCUGCUUCUUGCUCCAUUAGACCAGUCUGAAACAUGUGAGGUCCUGAGUUCUCCAGCUUCUUCUGCAAAUGACCCAGAGCAAAACAUGGCUGUGAAGGUUUACAACUACCCUUGGAGUUGAAGUGGAGAGAGUCACCACCGUGUUGCUGAGAGCUCUGCUAUGCUGAUAGAGCAUGGAGGGGAAACAGGAUAUGUGUUCAAGCUACAUGGAUUAGAGCUAGUAAGAUGUUGGUCUAAGCCACAAGAGUUUUGGAGACCGGAAAUACUUGAUUUCAGUAGUUGAAUUUAAAGUUAUCUGAAGGUAAAUAUCUCUUAUCUAGACGGUGUGUAAAUUGUGUAUUCAUCUGAUUUCCUUUCCUUACUGGAUAUCAUUUUCCCUUGGUGAGUUGUUCGUUUGGCUUCCUAAGCAGAACUAGACAAACUCCCAAAUCACUUCAUGCUUUCAGUGAGCUGUGUCACCUUUCUCUUUUUUAUUUUCUUUAAUCAUUCUUUUCAUGCUUCUGGAACAAUUGAGCAGUAGUAUUGCGAAAGUUUUACUAUCAUCCUCUGCAUGCUUGUCUCAAACUUCAUACCUUAAAAUUAAUGUGUUUGAUAUUCAACUAUCAUCUCUCUAAUAAUGCAUGCUUCAGGGUUUGUGAUUUCUAAUGUGACUGCAAACAUUAAAUUUCUAAUGAUACCUUGUGUUGAAUUAAGGGAUGCAAACACUAGAAUUGUGAAUACUACUAGAGUUAUGUACCCUUACCAGCCUGGGGAGUUGUAACCUACUGCCGUAAAUUCUUAUUCACAUUUCCCAGAGAUAAUAUGUUGGCCAAAUCCUUUAUUAAAUGGCUAUUGUCUGUUGCUAAAUCAUUUGUGUCGAGCCCAAAGCUGACUAAUGAUAGUCCAAGUUUUCAAAGAGUAUGUGU